CUUGUACACACCGCCCGUCACACCACGAGAGUUUGUAACACCCGAAGUCGGUGAGGUAACCCUUUUGGGAGCCAGCCGCCUAAGGUGGGACAGAUAAUUGGGGUGAAGUCGUAACAAGGUAGCCGUAUCGGAAGGUGCGGCUGGAUCACCUCCUUUCUAAGGAAACUAACGGAAACCCACACAUUCGUACUUACUUUGUUUAGUUUUGAGAGGUCUAAUCUUCUCAAUCUUUUUAAUCGAAACACGUUGUUCUUUGAAAACUGGAUAAAGUUAAAAAUUGUCAUUCAAGUAAGAAACCAGAAAGACACCGAAAUGUUUUAAAAUGAGUUUUUUUAAGGUUCUCAUCGUAAGAUGAGGUUUAAAAUUAACGCUAACCAUAGGUUAAGUUAAUAAGGGCGCACGGUGAAUGCCUUGGCACUAGGAGCCGAUGAAGGACGGGACUAACGCCGAUAUGCUUUGGGGA
rnacentral:misc_RNA from 1 species